rnacentral:rRNA from 1 species
AGAACGAACGCUGGCGGCAUGCCUAACACAUGCAAGUCGAACGAGACCUUCGGGUCUAGUGGCGCACGGGUGCGUAACGCGUGGGAAUCUGCCCUUGGGUUCGGGAUAACAGUUGGAAACGACUGCUAAUACCGGAUGAUGUCUUCGGACCAAAGAUUUAUCGCCCAAGGAUGAGCCCGCGUAGGAUUAGCUUGUUGGUGAGGUAAGAGCUCACCAAGGCGACGAUCCUUAGCUGGUCUGAGAGGAUGAUCAGCCACACUGGGACUGAGACACGGCCCAGACUCCUACGGGAGGCAGCAGUGGGGAAUAUUGGACAAAUGGGCGAAAGCCUGAUCCAGCAAUGCCGCGUGAGUGAUGAAGGCCUUAGGGUGUAAAGCUCGUUUACCCGGAUGAAUAAUGACAGUACCGGAGAAAUAAGACCCGCUAACUCCGUGCCAGCAGCCGC